rnacentral:rRNA from 1 species
CAACCUGCCGACAGCACUGGGAUAGCCUUUCGAAAGAAAGAUUAAUACCGGAUGGCAUAAUUAUUCCGCAUGGGAUAAUUAUUAAAGAAUUUCGGUUGUCGAUGGGGAUGCGUUCCAUUAGGCAGUUGGCGGGGUAACGGCCCACCAAACCAACGAUGGAUAGGGGUUCUGAGAGGAAGGUCCCCCACAUUGGAACUGAGACACGGUCCAAACUCCUACGGGAGGCAGCAGUGAGGAAUAUUGGUCAAUGGACGAGAGUCUGAACCAGCCAAGUAGCGUGAAGGAUGACUGCCCUAUGGGUUGUAAACUUCUUUUAUACGGGAAUAAAGUGAGCCACGUGUGGCUUUUUGUAUGUACCGUAUGAAUAAGGAUCGGCUAACUCCGUGCCAGCAGCCGCGGUAAUACGGAGGAUCCGAGCGUUAUCCGGAUUUAUUGGGUUUAAAGGGAGCGUAGGCGGGUUGUUAAGUCAGUUGUGAAAGUUUGCGGCUCAACCGUAAAAUUGCAGUUGAUACUGGCGACCUUGAGUGCAACAGAGGUAGGCGGAAUUCGUGGUGUAGCGGUGAAAUGCUUAGAUAUCACGAAGAACUCCGAUUG